rnacentral:misc_RNA from 1 species
GUCGUAGUCGACGGCACGCCCCGUGGCUAUCAGGUGUUCGUGCCUGCCGCGCAUGCGCGCGAGCCCGGGAAACUGCCGGUGAUCCUGUUCCUGCACGGCUCCGGCGAACGCGGUUCGGACAACAAGAUACAACUCGACGCCGGCCUGGGCCCGUAUGUGCGCAAGCACUUGGCGGAUUUCUCCGCCCUCGUCGUGUUCCCGCAAGUCGAGGAGAACGGGGAAUGGAUGGGCGCCAAUGUCGACAUGGCAUUGGCCGCCAUGGAAGCGGCGACCCGGGAAUUCAAUGGCGAUUCUCAGCGCGCUUAUCUCACCG